GUUUUUAGUUUAUAUUUGUUCUUUAAUAUCUAAGAAUAAGAAACACAUGAUCAAUCCGAUUUGGUCACAAACACAAAGUGCGAUAUUUAUUUUCACGUCAGUAAAACGCGUGUGUGUGUGUGUGUGUGUGUGUGUGUGUGUGUGUGUGUGUGGUACUGCUCGACUCCAGAUAACAUGCUGUUUAACCCGACACGAAGACCUGAGUGAUUAACAGGACGGAAACAAAAUCAGAAGGAAUAACGUAUGACCUCUCUGUGUUUCCGUGAAUAAGCGAUAAACCAUGUGUGUGUGUGUGUGUGUGUGUGUGUGUGUGUUCGGCUCUUAAAGAUGGGAAAUGAUUCCUCUGAGACAGUGACAGUGAUCACGGUCAGAAUUAAUUAUGCACGCUUUGCUUCUUCCCGCUCAGCUCAUACUGAAUCUUACUAAUCUAAUCCGGCCGGCGCGCCAUCAUUUCUUCCCCGCCGUGUGUGUGUGUGUGUGUGUGCACGUGUGUGUGUGUGCGAGAGAGUGUAUGGCGCCAGCUAUAAUGCGACUUCGGGGAAUCUAAAUCCGGCGUGUUCCAUACAUCGACGGCGAGCUCGCGGAAGUAAACAGAAUCCCGACUCGUGACACACGGCAUAGUUCGCCAAAAAUGGAUUGCGGCAUUGCGCAAGAAAUACGGCAGAUUAGACGAUUAAACGUAGCGGGAAAAAUAAUCCGCAAAAACGUCCGAUAUCAACGAGUACGAUCGAUCGGAAGUCUAAUCAAACCCAGUGCCGUUUGAUCCGUUCGCUAAGAUCAAACACGAGCGCAUUAAAAUAUUUGACUAUUUUAAUACACUGUAACCGAGACGAAUCGGUGUUUCCAUGGCAACCCAGACCACUGUGCGUACUCGUACGUACGACGAAAUAAAACAUCCGUUAAGGCGGAGUCGCUUUUAGAAUCCAGAAGAGGAUUCUUUUACAGCAUCUGAGAGCGUUUUAUUCCUCUUUCUCCACUGAUUACAAUUUUCUAUUUAUUUAUUAAAAAAAAAAGACAUUUUUAUCCGUUUAUAGUUACAUAAACCGGUCACCUCCUGUUCUCGCAUACGUUACAGCAGCUAUAAACACUCGUUCCCUCACCAAGAUGUCAGAGGGGAAAAAACAAAAGCCUAACCGCUGACACUGGAGACUCCUUCCAUAAAUGUUAAAUAAACAUCUGGUCACAAUAUACAUACAUAUAUAUAUAUAUAUAUACACACGAGGUGUCGCUAUAGAAACGAUAACGUACUAGAACGGUUAGUUAUGUGUUAAUAUAAAUCUGUGAUGCGUUUCAAAUCAACAACCUUCCGGCCAAUCAGAACGCAGAACUCGACAGUGCCGUGUCUUAAACGAUAUUAAGUAUGAGCCAGGUGUGUGUGUGUGUGUGUGUGUGUGUGUGUGUGUGUGUGUAUCACUCAGGGGUGUGAUUGUGUGUAAGAUUGACGGCUCCGUCCCGAUCUCGGCCGUGUCGAGGGUCAGACUCGGUGACCGGGCGGCCGUGUUAAUCCUCCUCCGUGUCGCCAUGACGUGUUUAAAGACGUGACACACUUCACCAAGCGCCGCUCUCUGACUGCUGACGAGUUCAUGUGCGAGUAAUUAACGGUAAUUAAUCCUUAAUUACCAUAAUUAGCCGAGUCGCAGUAGAUUAAACCACAUCUGGAGGAAGACAGAAGGGGGCCGGCGAGCGAGGAGGCACGCUUUUAUUUCUUUCUUCUUUUUUUUUUCCAUUUCAUUUUUUUUUUCCUUGAGGAAGUGGAUUCAGACGCUAAAGCUAACACGUUUCAUUUCUUUCUGUAUUAUUUAUUUCCUGUUCCUGUUAAAGACUGUGUCUCAUCUGACUGUGUGGUACAUCGCAAUACUGCGCUGUAAAUAUUCGAACUAAACACACUGACGAUGUUAAAGCGAUGAUUACGAGGUCAUCAUCCUUUUAUUUUAUAAAGACUUUAUCCCGAUGAGCAUUUUCACAUGACUAAAAUAAACAAACAAACAAGCAAAUAAAUACACGUUCUCAUCAUUAUUUACAAGUAAUUAGCUAUUUAAUGAAUUGGUUUUUUUUUUAUUAAUUACUUUAUUAGAAAACAAUUUCCACUACCAAUGUUUCUUUUCUUUUAUAAAUAAAUAAACUGAUUUUAUUAUCUUUUUUUAACUCAGGAAGACUUUAUCCUGAGUGUUUACACAUGGCGAAUAAUAAAUAAACAACAGAUAUAUGUAACUGUAUUAUACAUCUUUUUUAAAUUGUUUUGAGAUGAAAAUGAUUAGAAAUAAGUCACUGAUUAAUGGAUAUUUGUAAAUGUAUUCUUUUCUUUCCUGCGUGUGCUGAUGAUUUCUGAUGAAAUUGUCUUUAAUGAAUUCUUUAUCACAGCGCUCACCUUUAACUAAUUGUUUAAUUGAUUAUGACACUGUUAAUGUGACGAUAAUGAAGAAUAAUUAGUUCACAAAACUCAUUGUUUUAAACCCAGAGGAAGACACGCGGAGCGCUCACACUCGGACAAUAAGUUCAUUAAUGCAUUCGUCAUUUUUAAAAUCUUUAAAUAUUUGCAAAAACAUAUAUAAUGUGUGAUAUUAUCAUAUUUCUAUUCGUUUUGCUUGGCGGAAGUUCAAUAGAAAUAAACAACACUAUCAUGAUGCGGAAGGAAUUGUAAAUGAAUUCUUAUAAAUGAACAUUAUACAUUCUUUUAAAUCGGUUUUUUGCUGGAUUUUUUUGUUUGAAAAAUAUUUAUUUAUUUUUAUUUCUUUUAAACAGCACACACUUUCACUAAUCAGUUCAUUACCUGGACAGCGUCGAUGUGAAGAUCGUUAGCCGUUAACCGCGUUACUGGUGUUUGUGAUGGUAACGGCGGUGUUUGAGGUGUGCGUUGUGUU
ensembl:lncRNA